rnacentral:rRNA from 1 species
AGAGUUUGAUCCUGGCUCAGAUUGAACGCUGGCGGCAGGCUUAACACAUGCAAGUCGAGCGGUAACAGAUCUAGCUUGCUAGGUGCUGACGAGCGGCGGACGGGUGAGUAACGCGUAGAAAACUGCCCAGUAGUGGGGGAUAGCCCAGAGAAAUUUGGAUUAAUACCGCAUACGCCCUACGGGGGAAAGGGGGCUUCGGCUCUCGCUAUUGGAUGUGUCUGCGUGGGAUUAGCUAAUUGGUGAGGUAAGGGCUCACCAAGGCGACGAUCCCUAGCUGGUCUGAGAGGAUGAUCAGCCACACUGGGACUGAGACACGGCCCAGACUCCUACGGGAGGCAGCAGUGGGGAAUAUUGCACAAUGGGCGCAAGCCUGAUGCAGCCAUGCCGCGUGUGUGAAGAAGGCUUUCGGGUUGUAAAGCACUUUCAGUGAGGAGGAAAAGUUAACGGUUAAUACCCGUUAGCCCUGACGUACUCACAGAAGAAGCCCCGCUAACU